rnacentral:rRNA from 1 species
UGCUACGCCGUCUGGUGGAUGGCUUGGCUCGGGCGCCGAAGAAGGGCGUGCCAAGCUGCGAUAUGCCCCGGGUAGGCGCAAGGAGCCUCUGAUCCGGGGAUCCCCGAAUGGGACAUCCUGCUACGGCAAACCCGUAGCGGUUGCGCAGCAAUCGGGAACGCGGGGAAUUGAAACAUCUUAGUACCCGCAGGAAAAGAAAGCAAUAGCGAUGCCGUUAGUAGGGGCGACCGAACACGGCACAGGGCAAACCGAAUCCUUUGCCGAAAGGCAGGGGAGAUGUGGGGUUUGGACCCCGGUACUCCCAAAUGGUGAACCUGAAGUCGGCUGGAAUGCCGCGCCAUAGAGGGUGACAGCCCCGUAGGGGUAAGCCAGGAGGGAGAGUCCGGGUGUUCCAGAGUAGCGCGGGUUGGAUAUCCCGCGUGAAGGUGGGAGGCAUAAACUCCCAACCCUAAAUACGUCCCGAGACCGAUAGCGAACUAGUAGGGUGACCAAAAGCUGAAAAGUACCCCGAAAAGGGAGGUGAAAAGAGCCUGAAACCAGACGGUCACAGGCAGGUAGGGCGUGAAAGGCGUAAGCCAGCGUCCUGCCGUACGUUUCGAAAAACGGGCCAGGGAGUUCCUGGCAAUGGCGAGGUUAAGGCAGCAAUGCCGAAGCCAUAGCGAAAGCGAGUUCCCGCAGCCUUCGGGCAAGGGGAGAGGUGUGCUCGCCUCAAGUCAUUGUCAGGAGACCCGAAACCGGUCGAUCUAUGCGCGGCCAGGUUGAAGCCUCCUGAAAGGGAGGUGGAGGACCGCACCGAUUCUGACGUGCAAAUCGUUCGGAUGAGCCGCGUAUAGGGGUGAAAGGCCAAUCUAGACCGGAAAUAGCUGGUUCCCUCCGAAGCUUCCCUUAGGAAGUCCUCCGGCGAGGUAGGUGGUGCGGUAGAGCACUGAUUGGGUGUUUAGGGGGCGAAAGCCCUCGGCAUCCUGUCAAACUCCGAAUGUGCCACCGCCGUAGACCCGGGGAGUUCGGGCGUCUGGGGUAAGCUUGGCGUCCGAAAGGGAAAGAACCCAGCCCUGUGUUAAGGUCCCCAAGUGCCGGCUAAGUGUGACCCAAAGGGCGUCCACAUCCCAAGACAGCCGGGAGGUAGGCUUAGAAGCAGCCAUCCUUUAAAGAGUGCGUAACAGCUCACCGGCCGAGGGUGUGGGCCCCGAAAAUGGACGGGACUCAAGCCGGCCACCGAGACACAGGUGCUCCCGAAAGGAGCAGGUAGGAGGGCGCGGUGUAUGGGCAGAAGCUGGGGCGUGAGCUCCAGUGGACCGUGCACCGACGAGAAUCCUGGCGAAAGUAGCAGCAAAGUCGGGUGAGAAUCCCGACCGCCGAAGGGGCCAGGGUUCCACGGCAAUGUUCAUCAGCCGUGGGUUAGCCGGUCCUAAGGGUUGCCCCAACUGGAGCAACUCGAAAGGGAAGCAGGUUAAUAUUCCUGCGCCACUGUGGGCUAUACUCCUGUGCAUGACGCAUCCGGAUAGGCCGAGCAGCGCCGUCGCGCUGUCUAAGCGUUGAAACCCCCGGAGUGCCGUAAUGGCGAGAAGGGGGCGAAGACGUGAUGGGGUCCCCAAUUGAGGGGACUUCGGCUGAGUCCAGGUGCCCGUGAAAAGUGUGCAGGCGUGGCCCAUGGUGUCCGUACCUAGAACUGACACAGGUGCCCCUGGGUGAGUAGCCCAAGGCGUGUCGGCGUAAUCCGCCCGAGGGAACUCGGCAAACUAGCCCCGUAACUUUGGGAGAAGGGGUGCCUGCUCCGCGAAAGAGCAGGUCGCAGUGACUAGGGGGCUCCGACUGUUUAAUAAAAACAUAGGCGGCAGCAAGCCCGAAAGGGUGUGUAUUGCCGCUGAAACCUGCCCAGUGCGGGUACCUGAAAGCCGGGUUCAACCGGAAGAAGGGCCCGUAAACGGCGGGGGUAACUCUGACCCUCUUAAGGUAGCGUAAUACCUUGCCGCUUAAUUGGCGGCUUGCAUGAAUGGUCCAACGAGAGCCCCGCUGUCCCCGGGCGGAGCCCGGCGAAAUCGACUUACUGGCGCACAGUCCAGUGCCUCCCAGCCGCAAGCGAAGACCCUGUGGAGCUUUACUACAG